rnacentral:rRNA from 1 species
GCCAGACUCCUACGGGAGGCAGCAGUAGGGAAUCUUCGGCAAUGGGCGAAAGCCUGACCGAGCAACGCCGCGUGAAUGAAGAAGGCCUUCGGGUUGUAAAAUUCUGUUAUAAGGGAAGAAAGGUGAUAGGAGGAAAUGACUAUCAAUUGACGGUACCUUAUGAGAAAGCCACGGCUAACUACGUGCCAGCAGCCGCGGUAAUACGUAGGGAGCGAGCGUUGUCCGGAAUUACUGGGUGUAAAGGGAGCGUAGGCGGGAUUGCAAGUUGGAUGUGAAAACUGCGGGCUCAACCCGGAGCGUGCAUUAAAAACUGCGAUUCUUGAGUGAAGUAGAGGCAAGCGGAAUUCCUAGUGUAGCGGUGAAAUGCGUAGAUAUUAGGAGGAACACCAGUGGCGAAGGCGGCUUGCUGGGCUUUUACUGACGCUGAGGCUCGAAAGUGUGGGGAGCAAACAGGAUUAGAUACCCGCGUA